rnacentral:rRNA from 1 species
UACGGAGGAUCCAAGCGUUAUCCGGAUUCACUGGGUUUAAAGGGUGCGUAGGUGGAAUGACAAGUCAGUGGUGAAAACCUGCAGCUUAACUGUAGAACUGCCAUUGAUACUGUUAUUCUUGAGUACAUUUGAUGUGAGUGGAAUGUGUCGUGUAGCGGUGAAAUGCUUAGAUAUGACACAGAACACCAAUUGCGAAGGCAGCUCACAAAACUGUAAACUUGACACUGAGGCACGAAAGCGUGGGGGAUCAAAACAGG